CAGAAGGAGUUCCACAAUCUUUCUGCCGCCCUUUCUGGCCUUUAUCACCUCUUUCCAAAAUGUCUGCCUCCUGUGGCAUGUAGUGGAGUGUUAAUUUCCUUGUGUGUCAGACACAUCUUCCUGUCCCUUGAGGUCAUGUUUGGAGAGUUCUAAAUUGGAAUUUUGAUAGAAAACAGGUGACUUUCAUUCUCUUCCUUCAUUUCUACAGUGUUGUAGCUGCGUUGGUCCCAGGAUACUAGAGAGACAAGCUAUGGACACCCUUGUGCCUUUGUGGGAAGGGGCAGCUGGCACCUCCAUUUCCAGGAAGACUCCAUAUGCUGCGGAGUGAAUCCGCAGGCACCUACCUUCGUAUUUCAGGCUUUUUCCCCUUGUCCUUCUGAGAGGCUUGAGGUUCUGGCUUGGUCCGUUGGAUUGCCUCGCUUUCUUCAUCACUUAAAACAAAAUAAAAGUCAAUGGAAGAAAACCCCCAAACACCUGGCAGUUGAUUUCAAUGAUAAACCAUUAGAAGGCAGAUCCAGCCAUGGCUCAAAUGAAAACAGAAAAGCUCAAGCUGAUGUAGCCACGUCUCCUUUAGCCGAGUUAACCUAACUUAAAUGCAGGCUGCACUGUAGAGCUGGCUCUGCCGAUUUGUUCUAAUUGGCGGCAUUACUCACCUAUGUGGCACUAGUGUAAUUUUCUUUUACGAGCAGUUUCACAGAAUUAAGAAUAA